UCCGCCAACUCGGCAGGGAACUAAUUGCAAAUCAAUUCAAGCAAAUGUGCCAAGUCCACAAAUCAAUCGCAGCCUACCCGGUAGGUAAGCCUGUGUAGUUUCCGAGUAAUUUUCCCGUAAAGACCAAAAAGUCAGGUAUUUUGGUACUUAAUUUAUAUAAGUACAAGUUGAUUUUUUUGUUUUUUUAUAUAAAUAAAUUUUGCGGAAAAUAAAAAAUAAGCUAUAAAAGCCUGGUAGCGGAGGCGGGCCCUUAGGGUAGUUGGUGGGUAUAUGAGAGGGAGGGCUGGACACGCGUCGCGUCGCGU
rnacentral:misc_RNA from 1 species